rnacentral:lncRNA from 1 species
CUCUCUCUCUCUCUCUCUCUCUCUCUCUCUCUUUCUUCCUUUCUUUUAACAUUUUUCUUUCCCCAUCUGUCCCCAGGAAUCCAUAGCCAGGCCUCCAUCCCAUGACAGAGCCAUUUGCACGUUGCUUGUUUUGAGUUUCAUCUUACCUUCGCCGUAAACAGCUUCCCUCCCUAAGACCCCAAGAUUCCAGAGCAGAAGUCUUUGUUUCUGUCUCACUGGGCUCUUGUCAUCAGAGAAGUGGCUUCCCUUUGACCGGCAAGUCACAUUUUCAGAGACACAAUUAGUCUUCAGUCAGGCGGCAGAUCAUGCUAUGGGCCUGGGGUGACCAUGUGCUAGCUCUCUUGGUUUUGGCCUUUGCUUCCUUCACAUUAUAAUCUCCUGCUUUUAAAGUUUAUGUGUGUGAGUGUUUGCCUCGGUUAUCUGUGCACCGUGUGUGUGCAUGCAAUGCCUGUGGAGGCCAGAAGAGAGCCUGCAGAGGAGUUACAGAUGGUCGUGAGCAACCAUGUGGGUGCCGAGAAUAGAACUUGGGUCCUCCGGAUGAGCAGUCAGUGCUCUUAACUGCUGAGCCAUCUCUCCAGCCCUCUGAUCUAUUACUUUAACCGAAGGAAGUUGGAAUCGUUGAUUUGGGGGUAUGUCCCAGUGAAUUUGGUGACCGCAUGCUCUUCUGGCUUUCUCAGGGUCUCAGGGUCUGAGGCUGGGUGUUCUUUCGAGAGCCGUGUGCGGCAAUGACCCUCUCCUGGCACUAGGAAUUUGAUAACUAACAAUAGUAACUACUUUUUUGUUUGUUUGUUUGUUUGUUUUUGUUUUUGUUUUUGUUUUUUGAGACAGGGUUUCUCUGUAUAGCCUUGGCUGUCCUGGAACUCACUCUGUAGACCAGGCUGACCUCGAACUCAGAAAUCCGCCUGCCUCUGCCUCCCAAGUGCUGGGAUCAAAGGCGUGCGCCACCACGCCUGGCUAGUAACUACUUUUGAUAGUAUCCUUUCGAACCAUCAGACAUUUGCCGGACAGUGUAGGCAUGAUCUCACUUCCUCUGUGCACAGCUCCUGGUUUGCCUGAGAAAGGAAGGGUCCUUGGUAAGUAACUUGCCCAACGUGGCACAGUGAGUGUCAGAGUCUAGACUUCUUCGGUCUGCCAUUUUACUUAGUGAAGUCCAGGCUCCUGCUGUUUGUGCACUGAUUGGUGAGGAUUGAGCCUAGUAGCCUCUGUGAACACUGUUUAAGUCUGUCUCUGGGGCAAGUAGGUAAAUGGAUGGUCAUGGAUGUGUUUCAAUAAAACUUUUUAAAACUGGGCAGAAUUACGAGUCCUUGUGCGAAACUAUCCUCAAGGCUAGAUGAACGUGUUUAAGGACACGGCCGACUGCGUAGCCACCAGGUAGCUGCAUGGUUACUGUCUUCACCAUGAGAUGGGUGAAGACCAGAAGGUCAGUCAGUGUUGUAUAUAUGCCUCAAUCCUAACUUUUUGACAGGGUCUCCCCUUUAACCCAAAGUCAUCAAUUCAGCUAGACUGGCUGGCCAGUGAAGUCUAGGCAUCCUCCUGUCUCCACUCCAGCCCUAGGACAACAGACAUGAACUUCCUUCCCUGCUUGGCUUUUUCAAGUGAGUCCUAAGAAUACUGAAUUCGGGUCCUUCUGCUCAUGUGUGAAGCUCAUUCCCAUACAAGCCGGCUCGCCAGGCCCAUGGAGAGCAUUUUGAGUGUCACACACAGUGGUGGCACCAAAUGCUUCACAGAGCAUAAUCCUCUCAAGAGCUCCGGGAGACCAGGGUUGGACCGCGCAGCGCAAGGUUGUAAUCCCAGGAUAGGGGAGGCUGAAGCGAAGAACUCAUCAAAAGUUCAAGGUCAACCUAGGCUCUAUAGCGGGUUCAAGACUGGCCUGGGGUGCAUAGAGAAACCAGGGAACUCUACAGGGACCACACCAUAGACAAUGUUCCUCCAACCUCAUCCCAGUGAGAUCUCAAGCAUGGGCCCUAACCAUCUUCCGUAUUGCUUUUGCUCUUAGUGAGUCAUCCGCACAGACGCUCUGCCUGAUGGCCUGGAAGAGCAGCUCCCCCCACGAAGCCUGAAGGAAUGCUGCCUGCAGCCUCCAGCUCCUGGGCUUCCUGACAUACACACAUCAUCUUAAAGGAUUUGAAAUGACUAACUGUUGCACGAACAAACAUCUAUUCACCCAGACAGGAACAGAUGACAGUCUGAAAAAAUCAGUACGCUAAGUCCAUCCUGGAACAUAUGAGUCUACGGGGAGUUACCGGAGUGAGAUGGAGGACUCACCCCCACACAGGCAGCGGGGCCUCAGGAGCCACUACCUACCUUCACUGCCCCCACUGAAU